AUUGAACGCUGGCGGCAGGCCUAACACAUGCAAGUCGAACGAGUGGCGGACGGGUGAGUAAUGUCUGGGAAACUGCCCGAUGGAGGGGGAUAACUACUGGAAACGGUAGCUAAUACCGCAUACCAUCGGAUGUGCCCAGAUGGGCUGUGCUUGUAGGUGAGGUAACGGCUCACCUAGGCGACGAUCCCUAGCUGGGCUGAGAGGAUGACCAGACACACGGGAAUGGAGACACGGGCCAGACUCCUAAGGGAGGCACCGGUGGGGAAGAGUGAAGCAUGGGCGCAAUCCGUAUUAAGCCAGGCCGCGGGUAUGAAGAAUGCCUUCGGGGUGGAAAGUACUUUCAGCGGGGAGGCGUUACCCGCAGAAGAAGCACCGGCUAACUCCGUGCCAGCAGCCGCGGUAAGUC
rnacentral:rRNA from 1 species